GGGCCCGACCGGAAUUGACAGGAUGGCGAUACAGUUGUAAGCAUGCAGCGCGUUGUGAGACUAGCGCUUUAAUCUGAACUCUCAACUUUCAAACGGCGAAAAUAACUACGCCUUAGCUGCUUAAUUUAGAAUUAAGUAAGCUUUUGUCCCGCUGGUCUUCUGUUCGGUCAGGCCAGCAACCGGGGCAUCGAACGACGGAACUGGCCAGGGCGCAGGGUGUGUCCGCCCGGUAAGACAAUCACCUAAGGAAAACGGUACAGGCGCUCGGCUGGCCUUCCCUUUCCCGACAACUAAAUAGCCGAUAAGCAUGUAGAAAGCUUCAUGUGUACCAUGUUUGGACGAGAGUUCGAAUCUCUCCGGGUCCACUU
rnacentral:tmRNA from 1 species